AACGAACGCUGGCGGCAGGCCUAACACAUGCAAGUCGAACGCUCUAGCAAUAGAGAGUGGCAGACGGGUGAGUAACGCGUGGGAAUCUUCCUAUCGGUACGGAAUAGCUCAGGGAAACUUGGGGUAAUACCGCAUACGCCCUUCGGGGGAAAGAUUUAUCGGCGAUAGAUGAGCCCGCGUCUGAUUAGCUAGUUGGUGAGGUAAUGGCUCACCAAGGCGACGAUCAGUAGCUGGUCUGAGAGGAUGACCAGCCACACUGGGACUGAGACACGGCCCAGACUCCUACGGGAGGCAGCAGUGGGGAAUAUUGGACAAUGGGCGCAAGCCUGAUCCAGCCAUGCCGCGUGAGUGACGAAGGUCUUCGGAUUGUAAAACUCUUUUGGCGGGGACGAUAAUGACGAUACCCGCAGAAUAAGCCCCGGCUAACUUCGUGCCAGCAGCCGCGGUAAUACGAAGGGGGCUAGCGUUGUUCGGAAUUACUGGGCGUAAAGCGCACGUAGGCGGAUUUGUAAGUCAGGGGUGAAAUCCCGGGGCUCAACCUCGGAACUGCCUUUGAUACUGCAAGUCCUGAGUCCGGAAGAGGUGAGUGGAAUUCCUAGUGUAGAGGUGAAAGUCGUAGAUAUUAGGAAGAACACCAGUGGCGAAGGCGGSUCACUKGUCCSGUACUGACGCUKAGGUGCGAAAGCGUGGGGAGCAAACAGGACUAGAUACCCUGGUAGUCCACGCCGUAAACUAUGGAUGCUAGCCGUCNGCAAGCUUGCUUGUCGGUGGCGCAGCUAACGCUUUAAGCAUCCCGCCUGGGGAGUACGGCCGCAAGGUUA
rnacentral:rRNA from 1 species